rnacentral:pre_miRNA from 1 species
UUAGUGCGAGUUUUUUAUGGAGUUGGAACGUUUGCCCACGUUUGCCGCUAGGGGCGCUGUUGCAACUGUAUACAAAUUUGAGUUA